AAAACCAUUCCUGUUCUACGAAGUUGUGAUACUUUAUAUGCGGCGCUGCAUCCUUCCUUGUGUUUUGAGGUCACGGUCUUAUUUUUAUUUUAUUUUAUUUUUUGCUGAGGAAGAUUCAACCUGAGCUAACAGCUGUGCCAACCUUCCUUUAUUUUGUAUGUGGGAUGCUGCCACAGCAUGGCUGAUGACAAGUGGUGUAGGUCUAUGCCUGGGAACCAAACCUCAGCCUCCAAAGCAGAGUGUACUGAACUUAACCACUAGGCCACGGGGUUAUGAAACUGAGAAAGCUGGCACAGCAGGUGUUGGCCCACUGCCGGGGUCUCAAAUGCCACAUCUCUCAAUUCUGUUGGGAACAGCUGCCCCUGAAGACAUCACCAGCCACAGCAACUCCGCCAGAGAGACCGUCCUGAGGCUUCCUGGAGCCCUGCUCGUCUCUUUGGUCCACAGUCCUCUGGAGGCCCCGCCGAGGCCAGGCCGGACCCCCCGCACCCCCCAUUAC
rnacentral:lncRNA from 1 species